AACAGGGAUUGCCUCAGUAACGGCGAGUGAAGCGGCAACAGCUCAAAUUUGAAAUCUGGCCCCCCUCGGGGUCCGAGUUGUAAUUUGGAGAGGGUGCUUCGGCUUGGCCGCCGGUCUAAGUUCCUUGGAACAGGGCGUCGCAGAGGGUGAGAAUCCCGUACGUGCCCGGUCGGCCCCGCCGUGUGAAGCCCCUUCGACGAGUCGAGUUGUUUGGGAAUGCAGCUCUAAACGGGAGGUAAAUUUCUCCUAAAGCUAAAUACCGGCCAGAGACCGAUAGCGCACAAGUAGAGUGAUCGAAAGAUGAAAAGCACUUUGGAAAGAGAGUUAAAAAGUACGUGAAAUUGUUGAAAGGGAAGCGCUCGCGACCAGAACCGAACGCGGACGUCCGUCCGGGCCUCGCGCCCGGCUUGUCCGCCCGCGUUCGGGCCAGCAUCGGUUUGGGCGGCCGUACAAAGGCCGCGGGAACGUGGCUCCCCUCGGGGAGUGUUAUAGCCCGCGGUGCAAUGCGGCCAGCCCGGACCGAGGCCCGCGCUUCUGCUAGGAUGCUGGCGUAAUGGUCGUGAGCGGCCCGUCUUGAAACACGGACCAAGGAGUCUAACAUCUGUGCGAGUGUUUGGGCGUCAAACCCACGCGCGUAAUGAAAGUGAACGGAGGCGGGAGCCCUCGGGCGCACCGCCGACCGAUCCUGAUGUCUUCGGAUGGAUUUGAGUAAGAGCACAGCUGUUGGGACCCGAAAGAUGGUGAACUAUGCCUGAACAGGGUGAAGCCAGAGGAAACUCUGGUGGAGGCUCGCAGCGGUUCUGACGUGCAAAUCGAUCGUCAAAUUUGGGCAUUAGGGGGCGAAAGACUAAUCGAACCAUCUAGUAGUGGGUUCUUGC
rnacentral:rRNA from 1 species